ACUUAACUGAUGAAAAGAACUUAGUAAAGAACUAGUAUUUAUAUUAGAGAAAUCCUGGCUGGUGAAAAGGAUGAGGACUAGUUGCUUGAAUUACAAUCUUGGAGGUUAGACGUAUGCCUGCGUUAAAGGUUUGAGGUGCAGAAUCGUUGAUUCUGAACUAAGGUGGUACCGCGAUAUAUUCGUCCUUAGA
rnacentral:ncRNA from 1 species